rnacentral:rRNA from 1 species
GUGGGGAAUCUUAGACAAUGGGGGAAACCCUGAUCUAGCCAUGCCGCGUGAGCGAUGAAGGCCUUAGGGUUGUAAAGCUCUUUCAGAUGGGAAGAUAAUGACGGUACCAUCAGAAGAAGCCCCGGCUAACUCCGUGCCAGCAGCCGCGGUAAUACGGAGGGGGCUAGCGUUGUUCGGAAUUACUGGGCGUAAAGCGCACGUAGGCGGACCAGAAAGUCAGAGGUGAAAUCCCAGGGCUCAACCUUGGAACUGCCUUUGAAACUCCUGGUCUUGAGGUCGAGAGAGGUGAGUGGAAUUCCGAGUGUAGAGGUGAAAUUCGUAGAUAUUCGGAGGAACACCAGUGGCGAAGGCGGCUCACUGGCUCGAUACUGACGCUGAGGUGCGAAAGCGUGGGGAGCAAACAGGAUUAGAAACCCGGGUAGUCC